rnacentral:rRNA from 1 species
GGGGUCUCGGCCCCCAACUCUCAACCCCGUGACUAUCUACCCCCGUUGCUAUUGGCGGACCUUGGGGUCAUGCUCAUGCCGGUAACCCCGGCGAGUGCCCGCCGUAAGCCCACCAAAACUCGUUUUUAUCAGUGUCUGAGCUUGAUUUUAAUAAGCAAAACUUUCAACAACGGAUCUCUUGGUUCUGGCAUCGAUGAAGAACGCAGCGAAAUGCGAUAAGUAAUGUGAAUUGCAGAAUUCAGUGAAUCAUCGAAUCUUUGAACGCACAUUGCGCCCCUCGGUAUUCCGGGGGGCAUGCCUGUCCGAGCGUCAUUACAACCCUCAAGCCUCGCUUGGUCCUGGGCAUUCGCUCCCCGCCAGGGGGCGCGCCUGAAAAAUAGUGGCGGUCCAGCGUGACUUUGAACGUAAUAACAUCUUCCGUUCUGAAAGUUCCCGCGCUGUGUCCAGCCAACCAAACCCACGUUUUCCACGAUUGACCUCGGAUCAGGUAGGGAUACCCGCUGAACUUAAGCAUAUCAAUAAGCGGAGGAAAAGAAACCAACAGGGAUUGCCUCAGUAACGGCGAGUGAAGCGGCAACAGCUCAAAUUUGAAAUCUGGCUCCCAAUCGGGGGUCCGAGUUGUAAUUUGUAGAGGAUGUUUCGGGCGCGGUACCGGCCUAAGUUCCUUGGAACAGGGCGUCAUAGAGGGUGAGAAUCCCGUAUGCGGUCGGCCUCCAAACCCAUGUGAAACUCCUUCGACGAGUCGAGUUGUUUGGGAAUGCAGCUCAAAACGGGUGGUAAAUUUCAUCUAAAGCUAAAUACCUGCCAGAGACCGAUAGCGCACAAGUAGAGUG